AUUGAACGCUGGCGGCGUGCCUAAUACAUGCAAGUCGAGCGAACUGAUUAGAAGCUUGCUUCUAUGACGUUAGCGGCGGACGGGUGAGUAACACGUGGGCAACCUGCCUGUAAGACUGGGAUAACUUCGGGAAACCGAAGCCAAUACCGGAUAGGAUCUUCUCCUUCAUGGGAGAUGAUUGAAAGAUGGUUUCGGCUAUCACUUACAGAUGGGCCCGCGGUGCAUUAGCUAGUUGGUGAGGUAACGGCUCACCAAGGCAACGAUGCAUAGCCGACCUGAGAGGGUGAUCGGCCACACUGGGACUGAGACACGGCCCAGACUCCUACGGGAGGAAGCAGUAGGGAAUCUUCCGCAAUGGACGAAAGUCUGACGGAGCAACGCCGCGUGAGUGAUGAAGGCUUUCGGGUCGUAAAACUCUGUUGUUAGGGAAGAACAAGUACGAGAGUAACUGCUCGUACCUUGACGGUACCUAACCAGAAAGCCACGGCUAACUACGUGCCAGCCGCCGCGGUAAAAC
rnacentral:rRNA from 1 species